UACGUAGGGUGCAAGCGUUGUCCGGAAUUAUUGGGCGUAAAGAGCGUGUAGGCGGCCCGAUUAGUCCGCUGUGAAAGUCCAGGGCUCAACCCUGGAAUGCCGGUGGAUACUGUCGGGCUAGAGUCCGGGAGGGGCGAGUGGAAUUCCUGGUGUAGCGGUGAAAUGCGCAGAUAUCAGGAGGAACACCAAUGGCGAAGGCAGCUCGCUGGGACGUGACUGACGCUGAGACGCGAAAGCGUGGGGAGCAAAUAGG
rnacentral:rRNA from 1 species